GCCUCAGGGAGUGAUUACCUGCAAUAUGCCAGGGUACUGUCCCUGUAAACAAUGAGGCUGGAAGGCAAGAAAGGAGCAGCUCCCUGGCAUUCUGCUGCUGGAGCAUGGAAGCAGUGCUGGCCAGGAGCUCACAGGGGAUAUUUGGCAACGUCCAGGGACAAUUUCUGAUGGUCACAACGAAGUGGUUGCUACUAGCAUCAAGUGGGUAGAGGCCAGGGAUGGAGCUGAACAUGAUACAAUGCACCAGGUGGCCCCUGCAACCAAGAACCAAAAUGGCGGUAGUCCCCAGACCCAAUGCCUAGCGCCAUGUCUGGUGAGUGAAUGCACACAGGAAGAAAGCUUUGCCAAAAUUUGCACACCUCGUUGCUGGAAGGACUAGGACUGGCAUUCAGGUCUUCGGACUCCCAAGCUAUGCUCACCUCAUCAGACCUGAUGGCUCUAAGUAGGUCAGUUUUAGGUCCUGAGCUACUUGAUCCAUCUGGCUCCCAGU